GGUUGCAGUUCCUCCGACGUAUCAAGUCCAUUGUCUUUGGCAUAAAGGACCAAGAGCAACGCAAAUUCAGCCAGAUUAAACGGCCAUGCUAUGAAUGGUGAAAAAUAAACGAUUCUCUAAAAAUCAUAAAAGAAUUGAUUGUCGAGCUUUGUUUGAAUACUUCAUACGUCACACUCGUCACUUUACAUUUACAACGAUAUCAUAAAACUCAACAUAAAGUUAUCUUAUAUUCGUAAGAAUUACUAAAAUGCUAAUACUGCGCGUUACAGCAAACGUUUUAUAAUAAAAAAGUAAACUUAUAAGCAGA